GGCCGCCUGGCGAAAUGGCAUCGCGUCUGACUACGAUCAAAUAGCGGGCAUUCGGUAAUCAGGAGAUUGCAGGUUCGACCCCUGCGGUGGUCA